UACGGAGGGUGCAAACGUUAUCCGGAAUCACUGGGCGUAAAGCGCGUGUAGGUGGUUAUGUAAGUGGGUGAUUAAAUACCGAGGCUUAACCUCGGGACUGUUUCCCAUACUGCAUGACUUGAGGAAGACAGGGGCAAGUGGAACUUUGGGUGUAGGAGUGAAAUCCGUAGAUAUCCAAAGGAACACCAAUGGCGAAGGCAGCUUGCUGGGUCUUUUCUGACACUGAGACGCGAAAGCGUGGGGAGCAAACGGG
rnacentral:rRNA from 1 species